GCCAGCAUAGUGCAAUGGUUUGAACGUUGGACUAUAAGUCCAAUUUGGUUUAUUAUGGUUCAAUUCCUCAUUUGGCC